rnacentral:rRNA from 1 species
GAUGAACGCUGGCGGCGUGCCUAAUACAUGCAAGUCGAGCGAACGGACGAGAAGCUUGCUUCUCUGAUGUUAGCGGCGGACGGGUGAGUAACACGUGGAUAACCUACCUAUAAGACUGGGAUAACUUCGGGAAACCGGAGCUAAUACCGGAUAAUAUUUUGAACCGCAUGGUUCAAAAGUAAAAGACGGUCUUGCUGUCACUUAUAGAUGGAUCCGCGCUGCAUUAGCUAGUUGGUAAGGUAACGGCUUACCAAGGCAACGAUGCAUAGCCGACCUGAGAGGGUGAUCGGCCACACUGGAACUGAGACACGGUCCAGACUCCUACGGGAGGCAGCAGUAGGGAAUCUUCCGCAAUGGGCGAAAGCCUGACGGAGCAACGCCGCGUGAGUGAUGAAGGUCUUCGGAUCGUAAAACUCUGUUAUUAGGGAAGAAUAUAUGUGUAAGUAACUGUGCACAUCUUGACGGUACCCUAAUCAGAAAGCCACGGCUAACUACGUGCCAGCAGCCGCGGUAAUACGUAGGUGGCAAGCGUUAUCCGGAAUUAUUGGGCGUAAAGCGCGCGUAGGCGGUUUUUUAAGUCUGAUGUGAAAGCCCACGGCUCAACCGUGGAGGGUCAUUGGAAACUGGAAAACUUGAGUGCAGAAGAGGAAAGUGGAAUUCCAUGUGUAGCGGUGAAAUGCGCAGAGAUAUGGAGGAACACCAGUGGCGAAGGCGACUUUCUGGUCUGUAACUGACGCUGAUGUGCGAAAGCGUGGGGAUCAAACAGGAUUAGAUACCCUGGUAGUCCACGCCGUAAACGAUGAGUGCUAAGUGUUAGGGGGUUUCCGCCCCUUAGUGCUGCAGCUAACGCAUUAAGCACUCCGCCUGGGGAGUACGACCGCAAGGUUGAAACUCAAAGGAAUUGACGGGGACCCGCACAAGCGGUGGAGCAUGUGGUUUAAUUCGAAGCAACGCGAAGAACCUUACCAAAUCUUGACAUCCUUUGACAACUCUAGAGAUAGAGCCUUCCCCUUCGGGGGACAAAGUGACAGGUGGUGCAUGGUUGUCGUCAGCUCGUGUCGUGAGAUGUUGGGUUAAGUCCCGCAACGAGCGCAACCCUUAAGCUUAGUUGCCAUCAUUAAGUUGGGCACUCUAAGUUGACUGCCGGUGACAAACCGGAGGAAGGUGGGGAUGACGUCAAAUCAUCAUGCCCCUUAUGAUUUGGGCUACACACGUGCUACAAUGGACAAUACAAAGGGCAGCGAAACCGCGAGGUCAAGCAAAUCCCAUAAAGUUGUUCUCAGUUCGGAUUGUAGUCUGCAACUCGACUACAUGAAGCUGGAAUCGCUAGUAAUCGUAGAUCAGCAUGCUACGGUGAAUACGUUCCCGGGUCU